UAAAAUAUCUCACGCUUUCACUCUUCUCUCUCAUUCUCUCUCAUAUCUUUUUCUCUCAUUCCAUAGAGAUCUGCCCGCCACCGUCGCAAGGAGCACCCAUCUCCAACCAGCCACCGUCGCACACGAGCACCCAUCUCCGACCAGCGACAGUACAACAUCGCACACCGCGGAUAGUUGGCAAAGAGGAGUUCUGUCAAGUUGGAUAUUUAUAGAAAGUUUUCAAAUGCAUUAGCAGGAACAGAGAUUGCUUUAGUUGCUUGGAUAGGAUAUGAGGUAUGCUUUAAUGAGUAGACUCUACUUCUAGUUUUGAUGUGCAAUAACAUUGGUUUUGUUUAUUAAAAUUCAUUUUCAUUUUCUUAAAUAGACAAAAGCAGAAAUCCCAACUGCGUGGAGAAGAUUACCUGAGUGCUUAGUUAUUAUGUUAUGAUUAAAGUGUUCCUCAGUGUUCUUCAGUGCCAAAUCUUGACAAACUGUUUUGCUCGCUUUAUGCCACUACAAGAAAUUAGUCUUUUAGAGACUAAUAUUUAGGGACUAAUUAGAUUUGGUCCCUAAAAAUAAUCUUUUAGAGACAAAUCUAAACUUAUUACUAUAAUUUACUUACAACAAUGCAAAAAUGGCUUUUGAUGUGUUCCCUGUUACGCUGUGUAACUUUACUUCUUGUUUGUUCUGAUUCAGUAAUUCACAUUGUUUAUCUCUAUAUGUUUCUCUGAUUCGUUUUAUUUUCUUCUAGUAUUUUCCUUCUAUUUACUUGCAACCAAACAGGGUGCAAUGUGACUCACAUUUGGUUUGUAUUAAUUUUGGUAUUUGAAGCUGACAGGCACAAAGACACCUGAUUAAUUUGAUUUGGUUUUCGCUUGAUCAUGGCACAUGUAAUUGUUAUUUCUUUUUUUUAUGAACAAAUUAUCAAUAGUUCCUAGAAAGAUAUAGUACUUGCUAAGAAAAUGAGACAGUGUAGAGUUGUACUGGGCAUAUUUUGUUAUUUCAAUACAUCAAAUCUAGAAAAUGAAGAAAUUGAUUCAGACUCAAGAAAAUGUUUUUGGCUAAUGUAAUGGCAUCAGAAGAAAUUGUAUGUUUGUCUCAGUUUGGUCACUUAGAAAUUGUAGGAGAAGGAAAAAAAUUUUACAAUUUUUUUGGUGUGAGUUAAUGGGUUUGUUGAUACUGAUGUGUUUAGUGAAGUUUUGUUAUAUUCACAUUCUAUUUGGAGUGUUACAGCUGCAUUCUUUUGUCUGAAAAUUUAGACAGGUUUCUAUUUUUAGAUAUAUAUAUGCAUUUUCCACAUAUAGUUGCUCUUGAAACUAUUGAUUCAAUACAAAUACCAUGACUAAAGUUACCAUAUAUAGUUGAUUUACACAUAAUAAUACUUGAAGAGGUGGAGAAAGUUUAAAAUAAUUCUAAAUUUUAUUAAUCAACAAGCUCCCUUAUGUUAAACCAUUCCAGUACUUGGUUUUUAUAAAAAAAUCAAUCCUAAAAUCCUAGGUAUGUUCUUCUACAUCAAGUACUAGUAUGAGAAUAAUAGAGUAAUGGAUGUUUCUUCUCCUGAUGUGAGCUCACCGUUACAAUAUCACCUUUAUGGUAAUGGAAAAAUUGAUGUGCAUUUGUGCUGCUUAGCUUUUUUCAUUUGUAGUAACUAUUUAAGCAUCUUCUUUCCAAUUUUUCAGAACUCAAUGAAUUAGCAUUCUUGUGCUCAUCUUACUGUUCAUUUGUUACUUUGGGUGGUGGUUCACGUUUUUUAUUUGAAGUUUAUGUUCAUCUUUGUGUCAUUGGAUUCCUUCUUAAUCUUUUCCCACAUUUGGAUUCUUUGCUUAAAACAAUUCUGUUAGAUGAGAAAUUAAUAGGUAGAUGAGAACGAUGAAGAGUUGCCUGAUUUUUGCAAAUUCUAUGAGAAGUGUCACAAGUCGAAGAAGAUGAAUGACUGGAUUGAUCCCCGAUGCGGUGACCUACAUGUAAGAAUUUAACAAUGGAUCAAUUGUAUGUAAUAAUAGUUAAUAUAAUUGUUUAUCUUAUUCUGCAUUUUUAAAUUUUUAUUCUUUAUUUUUAUAAUAACAUAAUGAGAUGUUUAUCUUAUUCUAGAUUUGGAAUCGGCCCACGACCCUUUUUUACCA